rnacentral:sRNA from 1 species
AGAGACAGCUGGGCCACUGGCAGUGAGGGAGAGUGAGGAUGGCAGAGACCAGUGCCCUGCCCACCGGCUUCGGGGAGCUCGAGGUGCUGGCUGUGGGGAUGGUGCUGCUGGUGGAAGCUCUCUCCGGUCUCAGCCUCAAUACCCUGACCAUCUUCUCUUUCUGCAAGACCCCGGAGCUGCGGACUCCCUGCCACCUACUGGUGCUGAGCUUGGCUCUUGCGGACAGUGGGAUCAGCCUGAAUGCCCUCGUUGCAGCCACAUCCAGCCUUCUCCGGUACCAGCCCCCUCCCUAGUCCACAGGCUCUGGGGUCCUGCCUGGGGCCUGACCCCUGGGCCCUGGGCAGCCAGGCCAAGGGCAUUUUUACUACUUACAGAAAAUUGGCCAAGGGCAGAGGGUGGGCAGGCUAAAAUGGGCUGAAUUCCAGAUUGAUUCUGAAGAACGACAGCUGAUUUCUGGAAGACAGGGGUUGCUGAAACCUGA